GUAGAUGAACGUGAUUGGCCGAAAAGACCGGAAAUUCCGUCACAGAAUAAUUCUCACUAUAAAGUCCUCCUCUUUGCGGGUAGACUGCCUUUUCACCCUCGAAAAACAGAGCAUGACGCCAAACAUUAACGUAACGUUAGAUAUCGACGCUAUGAAGUUUCCCUGGUUGUUACAGCACUGCAGUCAACAAACCACCUAUCUAACAACAAAUUUUCUGAUCAAGCAGGCCCAUGGUUGAAGCUGAUUGGCGAGGGAGAGAUCAUGUGACGAAGGAAGUGCAGGUGUGGUUCCAGAACUGUCGGGCAAAAGAACAAGGAGACUCAGGCAGCCCUACGCUCCCUGGCAAGCCAAGCACUCGCAGCCCUCCGCUCCCUGGCAAGCCAAGCACUCGCAGCCCUCCGCUGCAAACAUGGAGUUGUUUACAAGUUUGUUAAUUAAAAUGUUCAAGAUUGUAAUGGAAAUUAUUUCAUAUAUCCCAAACUUGCCUUUUUAAUGUAUUGUAAAAGGUAAGGACUAGCUGCACUGUGAUGGAAAAACAGGGUGAAGUGUAUUGUGCUAACUGGUAAAGUUGUGUGAUUUAAGUUAGUGGCUGACCCCUGACCUCCAGGAGAUCAUGACUUCAUAACAGGAUGGAGCUGGGGCAUACAUAGCUUUAACAUGCCACAGUAGUUAUGUCAGUGGAGCGACAGAUGGCUCAAUGCUGUCUCAGUGGAAUGUCAAUUUUUUUGUGGUGUGUGCUCUUCUAAGCUAAUUAUGUUCCAACCAUUUUUGUUCCACAUUGCAGUUUUAAAUACAGUUGAAUAAAAGUUGUUUCUCCAAA